GCUUCACUUUAUGUACAUUGACACAGCAUAUCUCCACAUUUGUCAUUCCCCUGCCUUUCAAGAAAACUGGAUUUGAUUCUUCAUUCUUACAAAGUGGUCUUCUCCAAGGACCAGAGUAUUGAUUCACCAACUUUCCUUUUCUACUGACACCAUCUGAGGCUCUCCAAAGUGAUUCCUCUUCAGAAUUGUGGAUUUCUGGUUCUCAAAGCUUAGGAUCUACCCCAACUGAUCCAAGGGUCCAGAAUAUUUUCUUCCCAGCCAAAGAGACUAUCAGAUUUCUCCAAGAACGGGAUCAUAUCAUCUACUUCUGUAUCUCCACACAUUGUACAAACUUCUGCAAAUAUCUAAAACAAAGUAA